rnacentral:rRNA from 1 species
CAGCAGCCGCGGUAAAACGGAGGGAGCUAGCGUUGUUCGGAAUCACUGGGCGUAAAGCGCACGUAGGCGGCUAUUCAAGUCAGGGGUGAAAGCCCGGGGCUCAACCCCGGAACUGCCUUUGAAACUAGAUAGCUUGAAUCUUGGAGAGGCGAGCGGAAUUCCGAGUGUAGAGGUGAAAUUCGUAGAUAUUCGGAAGAACACCAGUGGCGAAGGCGACUCGCUGGACAAGUGUUGACGCUGAGGUGCGAAAGCGUGGGGAGCAAACAGGAUUAGAUACCCGAGUAGUCCCUGUCUCUUAUAC